ACCGAUCCGACCGUGGCAUUGAGGGCCACGCCAGCCAGCAGCAGCACCGCCCCCCGGAAGUCGUACGCUUCCAGCAGGCUCCGCACCAGCUGGGGCAUUAUCA
rnacentral:sRNA from 1 species